rnacentral:rRNA from 1 species
CAGUAGCCGCGGUAAUACGAAGGGGGCUAGCGUUGUUCGGAUUUACUGGGCGUAAAGGGCGCGUAGGCGGACUGAUAAGUCAGGGGUGAAAUCCCAAGGCUCAACCUUGGAACUGCCUUUGAUACUGUUUGUCUUGAGUUCGAGAGAGGUAAGUGGAACUGCGAGUGUAGAGGUGAAAUGCGUAGAUAUCGGAAGGAACACCUGUGGCGAAGCGGCCCACUGGACCAUUUCUGACGCUGAUGCACGAAAGCUAGGGGAGCAAACAGGAUUAGAUACCCCCGUAGUCCCUGUCUCUUAUACA